rnacentral:lncRNA from 9 species
UUUGUUGCUAGGGAUUGAAUGUUUGUGUUCCCCACUCCAGGUUCUCAUGUCAAAAUCUAGUUGCAUUGUGAUGAUAUUUGGAGGUGGGGCUUCCGGGAGGUAAUUAGGUCAUGUGGCUGAAACCCUUCCUGAAUGACAUUAGUGGCCUUUUGAGGAGACACGAGAAGAUGAUCUCUCUCCCUUUGCCAUGUGAAGAUACAGUGAGGAGGCAUCUGUCUGCAAGCCAGGAAAAGGGCCUUUACCAGGAGAUAGCUGACCUUGGCAUUCCCAGCCUCCAGAAUGGUGAGAAUUUUUUUGCAGCAGCUCAAGCUAAGACAUUUAUUGUGAAGCAUUGUGGAGAUGAGAGUGUAUCCCUGGAUGAUAUAUAAUUUAAGAAGCUGGGGUACAGAGGUGUCCAGGGACUGGGCAGGGCCCCACGUGUAGCCAAUGGAAGGACCCAAGAUGCCUGGAUUUGGACCAGUGGAACCUGUUAAAAUCUAUUCCCGGAGAGAAUGUUCCUGCAAAUCUAAUAAGCCAUGUUUCCAUCCACAUCUCAGUGUGACCAGAACAAGGACUCAACAGAUGUUCGUGAACUGCGCAAAUGAUUGGACUUUACUCCUUUCCAUCCUGUCUUUUUUUUCCUCCUCUUUUCUUGAUGGUCCAAUUUUCAACUUUUUGAAAACAGCAAGUUAAACAGUAGCAAAAACCAAAAUGCUUACUUUCUUUGAAUUAGUUGUUAUUUUGGGGGGGAUACACAUGCAACAUGCGUAAGUUUCUAGGCCAGGGACCAAACUCUCACCACAGCAGUAACCCAAGCCUCUGUAGUGACAGCACCAGCUCCUUAACUCAUUGUGCCACAAGGGAGCUCCUGAACUAGUUUUUGUGUUAUAAUUCGAUAUUGCAUUAUCAAAUUAUGUCUUUUUUCCCCAAAACAUUCUUUUUGGUGUAACUCAUUUUUUAACCAUUUUGCUCAUUAUAGGUCCAUAAAAAAAUUUUCUCUUUGAUGGCAAGUGAACCAGAGGAACAGUGCAACUGUUUGUAAAACUCUUAAGUGCUUUUGCAAAGCAUUCUAAUUACAAAUGUCCCUAAAGGAGUUCCCCUCACAGCACAGCAGAAAUGAAUCCCACUGAGAACCAUGAGGUUUCAGGUUCGAUCCCUGGCUUUGCUCAGUGGGUUAAGGAUCCAUCAUUGCAGUGAGCUGUGGUAUAGGUCAAAGACUCGGCUCAGAUCUGAUGUUGCUGUGGCUGUGGUGUAGGCCAGAGGCUGCAGCUCCGAUUAGACCCCUAGCCUGGGAACCUCCAUAUGCAAAGGGUGCAGCUCUAAAGUAAAAGGCAAAAAAAAAAAAAAAAAAAUGCCCCUGAAGAAUUAUUGCUGAGGGGUUCCCGUUAUGAUGCAGUGGUUAACGAAUCCGACUAGUAUCCAUGAGGACUCAGGUUCGAUCCCUGGCCUUGCUCAGUGGGUUAAGGAUCCGGCACUGCUGUGAGCCGUGGUGUAGGUUGCAGACACGGCUCGGAUCCCGCGUUGCUGUGGCUGUGGCAUAGGCCUGCGGCUACAGCUCCAAUUCAACCCCUAGCCUGGGAACCUCCAUAUGCCGCGGGAUUGGCCCUAGAGAGGGCAAAAAGACAAAAAAAAAAAAAAAAAAAAAAAAA